UGAAUAAACCUAAAAAGUGAAUUUUGCUUAUAUUUUGAAACGGAGGGAGUAUAUGUUACGAUGAUAUGACUGAAAUCAGUAGACAAGAAUACAAUCAAGCUGCCUUAUUUCAUUACCAUCAUAAUAGAGAACAAAUCCAUAACUACAAUCUUUGUCAAAUUAGAAAAAGAAAGUUAUUGGAUUGCAACAUGAUAACUAAAUGGUACCUCUUAAUAUAAGUCGGACAUUUGUGUACUCGUGAACACUUGUAGAAUCUAUGGUAUAAAUCCUAUACAAUCACACCAGCCUUCUGAGCAUACCGGUUUAAUACCAGGCAUGCACCUUUCAUUUCGACAAUCAGAAUCUCCAAUACAUAUAGUUUUUGCUGUAAUGAAAAAUAUGAAUAAAAGUAUGUUAUUAAAAUGUAAUAAAAUAUUAUGUAUGAAGAAUGUAUUACCUUCCAUGUUUGUUGCAAUAAUAAAUAUGGAAAGAAAGAUAAUUAUAACAUAAACAAACUUGACAAUAUCUUCCAUACUCCCCCCUA
rnacentral:lncRNA from 1 species